GGUGCCCAUGGAUCAAAUUUGAUCCUAGUCCUUGUUAAUGACUUGAGAAGUCAGUGGGAGGACUUGACUUGAUGAAGUCAGUGGGAGCGAAUUGGUCCAUAUCUUUUCUAUCCUUAAAUCAUUGAUAAUUUUAAAUCUUCUAAAAUUAUUAGAUCCUUAAAAUAACAAACUUAUGGAGAUAACUGAGUCAUAGCCUCCCAUUAAGGUGUUUGAUAAUGAGUCCAUUAACUCAAUAAUCAUUGCAGACCCAAA
rnacentral:lncRNA from 1 species